GUGUGCGUAAUUUAAAUAAAAAUAUCAAGCCGUGACCUUGAACACAGAGACACACUCUCGCAUACC
rnacentral:tRNA from 1 species